rnacentral:tRNA from 1 species
GCGCCCGUAGCUCAACUGGAUAGAGCGACUGACUUCGGAUCAGUAGGUUGGGGGUUCAAAUCCCUUCGGGCGCACCA